rnacentral:lncRNA from 1 species
UAUAAUCAGAGUAUUUAUUACAUAGCGGAAGUCUUACAAAAUAAAAGAUAAAUAUAGAUCGAACUAAAGUCUAUCCUUGGCCCCAGAAAGUCAACUGGGUGACCCCACUUAGAUCGAAUCGAACUCCUUGUUGUGUGGCUCCUCUUGAACCACCAGUUCUUCUCCUGUGGGGGUGUGAGACAGCAAGGGUGAGCUCACAUACGUUCAUAGUUUAACAAGUUGUGGGGAAUAAUGUGCAUGAACUCACCAAAGGUGGGAGUUCAUGUGAAGUGUAAGGUUGAUCAACAAAAUAAAGGUUGAAACUGAGCAUUGCUUUUAUAACUUGGUCAAAAUUUUAUUAGCAAUUACUAAGUAUAAACAAAUACGUAGUAAUAAUAAGUAAAAGUAAUAAUAAAAUAAUCACAAUGCGAUGCAAAUGACAAAUUGAGUUUUAAUUCCAUAGAUUUAUCAUGUGAGGGUCCGAGCCGCUCAUGACCGUGAGCACGGCUAGUAUACCAGUUUUACACUCUGCAGAGGUUGCACAUCUUUACCCACAAGUCAUGUUACCCAUCUGCCAAGGGGUCAUGAAUCCCAUACACCUCUACCGAGGAAGCGAGGCAGGGUAACACUACGAGGCCUUUACAAACUUCCACUAGCUUCAGAAAACCCACUACUGUUUCUAGGAAGCUACAAUGCAGGGAUCCCUCGCCUUACCGCCAUCGCAGCAAAAUCAACCCAAGGGCCUCCCUACACUGACCACUCCCCUACUGCCCUUGCCCCUUUCGGGUAAGGUAUUCAUCCACUAGCUUUCCUAAUUAGUUAGCCAAGGGCAUCCCAUACUACCCUUGUGGUAGCACUGUUUUCUCGGCCUCCCGGGUGGUCGCUCCAUGUUCCCAUUAACAUAAUGAUCUUAACAUGAACAGUAAUAAUAAACUGAUAAUAAAAGGGUGAUCAUGAAUACUGUAUAUCCAUACCCAGAACCACAAAAAGCAAUAGCAAGUACUACCCAAAAGUUCAGUGGUAAACAAGGUAUAAAGAUAGUCAAACUGGGGUAACCUAUUGGGUCCCAUCAAAAUUAACCUAUGCAGAUCAUUAUGAUUAAUUAGAACAUGACUGGGUAAAAAGAAGUGAUCAAGGGCACAACUUGCCUGGCACUUGAGAAUCCAGGUACUAGGAUGAUUCUUCAGAUCCUUGUGACCUCACUGCUAGUCAUAGCAAUACAAACAGACAUGGUAUAGACAAAAUUAACACCAAACCAAACAUAAGUACAAACUGAAUAAUAAUGAUCUAUGUGUCGUAACGAGAUCGUGGUAUCAAGAACUACUAAGAUCGGAGUAAUGAUUAAGGAGUUAUGAUUUUAUAGAAGAUCCACAUGAUUAAAAUAUUAAACUAUAUUAUAAAUUGGUUAAUAUAAAUCAUAUAAGUGGUUAUUCUAUAAAUAAUUAUCUCAACUUUAAUCUAAGUUAUAAAUUGACCAUACACUACUACAAUUUGGCUCUAUACAAACGGUAGGUCUUUUACAUUCCAAGCGGUUCGGCUAGAAAACCGUCUGGGGUGUCCCAGGCUAUUCGGACCGCCUGUGAUGUAUUCGUAUCACAAGCGGUCCAAAAUAAUAACAGCUUGUGGUGCUCGAUUUGCUUCACAAACGGUCCGUAAUAAAAAAACCGCCUAUGAUGCGCGAUUCGUAUCACAGGCGGUUCUCAAUUAGACCCGAUUGUGAUUUGAUUAUCAUAUAUUAAUAUUUUAAUUUUUAACAAAAAUAUGCAAAUACAAUUUAAAUGAAUUUUGAUAGCACACAAAGAUAACUAGAGAGAUUUUAAAUUAAUUGGCGACCACAAUGCAUAGUCGACCAUACAUGCUAAUAAAUACAAUUUGAUUCAUACAAUUUUUCAUGAACUACCAUUUUUCCGCAUGUAUGGCUUUAAGUUCUUAUCAAUUUUCUUUUCCACACGCUUGAUUCUCUCUGGACCGUUAAAGGCGGACAUCUCUUCAUACUUAUUGUAUUCCUCAUCUCCGUUUCCCACAUUCUCAACUCCAAUAAUUUUUUGCUUUCCAUAAAUAACUACAUGCAUCUUCUCAUCUGCUGGAUCGAGUACAUAAAACACUUGUGCAACACAUUCGGCGAGAACCCACGGGUCAUCUUUAUAUCCUAAUUUCUUUAAGUCUACCAGUGUGAGUCCGUAGUUAUCCACUAUCACCCCCACGGGAUGUUGUACCCAUUGCCACUUAAAUAAGGGUAUUUUCAUGUUUGGGCCAUAAUCAAGUUCCCAUAUUUCCUCUAUGAAUGCAAAAUAUGUGGUCUUUUAUCCCUGUAGGUCAAAAGCAUCAAUACGAACACCACUAUUUUGUGCAACACUUUUCAUGUCUUUUGAUUUAGUGUAGAAUGUGUACCCAUUGAUGUCAUAUGCUUGCCAUGAUGUCACAAAACACGUUGGCCCAGAAGCCAAAUUCUUCAUUGUUUUCUCUUCCAAAGAGUCUCCGAAUAGGAUGUUUUUGUCCAUUAACCAUUCGCUGAAACGAUGUUUGUGCUCCCUCAUGAUCCAGUCCUCUGUGCGGUUCUAAUUUUCUUUACGAAGCUGAUCUAGGUGUUCCUUUAUGUAAGGCUCUGCUAUCGCGAGAUGUUGUAGUACACUACCAUGAGCACAAUGUACUAGCUUGUAAUCCUCAACGCGAAAAGUUUUCCUGCCCAUUCUCCCUCUCCCACAUAGUUUACCCUCAUGUUUAGGUACAGGCACACCUAUCAUUGUUCCGUCUCUGAUGUAAUCUAUACAACUCUCAAUCACUUCUUCUAUAGUGUAUCCCUCCAUGAGUGAACCCUCUAGUAGAUUAUAAUGAUUAGCAGUUUAACAAGACUAACCAACAUAAGUUAAAUAGAGAUCUGAUUAUAAAAUAAUGAGACAUGGUAUAAUAAAUGUCGUUAUUGCAUAGUAAAUAUUCAUACGAGACUAACGUAACUUGAAUGGAUCAGAUCGGCGUUAAAACAGAGAAGUUAUGAAUUUUCUAAGGUUUUAUGUAUUUUGAUAUAAGAUUAAUUAGGAAAUAAAUUUUCUUAUUGUUUUCAUGUCAAAACAGAGGCACUAGGUAAUAAACAAUAAUAUUACAAAAUUAUAGAAACUAGAAUAAACUGAAAAGGAGCUAAAAUAAAUUUUAUAUGAAUUUUACAAGUUUCUAUAAUUAUUUUUGUGUUAAAAAUCAAUUUCCAAAAUUAAUCUCCUAGUUUUCACUGUCCUCUGGACUGCGCGCGAAAUACCAGAGAAGACAGGGUCUAGCGUAUAAAAUUCUCUAGACUCAGACUAACCCCGUAGUGGACGGCGGGUUGAUUAUAAUGAAGAUGAGGGACUUAUGUGGAAAAUUGUACUCGCGAAGGGGUAUGAGGCUUUAUCAGCCGCCGGAUCUGGCUGCAACGGCACAGAUUAGAAUCGCGCUCUCCAUGAAUCGGUAUUCACUAGCGGGCGGUGGAUCUAAAUCCGACGGCCCAACGACCUCUACGCUUCAGUCCAAUCCUGGCCAUCCGUUUGUAGCUCAAUGACCCAGAUCAAACCCAUCCGAAGGGGUAUGCCGCAUCUAAUCGUGGCUGUUCACCCAGGAUCCAAUGGUCCGAGGGCCAACUUCUAUAUAGAUCUAAUCUUGGUCGUCAGCGUGGAGAUCAACGGUCCCCGUGCCAUCUUCCCCAGCCCGACGUGUUGAGCACGGUGGCGCCUACCUAGCCGCGGCGGCGCCAUUGCCACAACCCCCAAUCCCGCAACUUCGCACAUGAAACUCCAAUCAGGCGACACCACACAUAUAAGAUAGGAAGGCGAACAUGAUGGUGGCAUCCUCACCGUGAUUAGCGCGACAUAGCACCCUACCCACCGUGCGCGGUGGAGCCCAAAGCUCGGCGAGAAAUUCCAGUCGCCCUGGUGCUCGAUUCUUCUGACCACGUGCGCGAGUAUCUUCCCCACGCUCUAUGCUUUCCCCUGGCCUAUCCCACGGGGUCGAAUCGACGAUCAAACGGAUUCUCGCCCACAGCCGCACUCUCCCCCCUUUUCCUCGGUCACGAGUUGGGCGGACAGAGGCGCUAUCCAGAGGCUUGGGGCGCGGCUUAUAGCCUGAGGUUGUUACGGACCCCUAGCUGGCGGACUUGGUCAUUGCAACCGACCC